rnacentral:rRNA from 1 species
CCUACGGGAGGCAGCAGUGGGGGAUAUUGCACAAUGGGGGGAACCCUGAUGCAGCGACGCCGCGUGGGUGAAGGAGUGCUUCGGCAUGUAAAGCCCUAUCGGCAGGGAAGAAGCAAGACGGUACCUGACUAAGAAGCCCCGGCUAACUACGUGCCAGCAGCCGCGGUAAUACGUAGGGGGCGAGCGUUAUCCGGAUUCACUGGGUGGAAAGGGAGCGUAGACGGCCAAGCAAGCCAGGGGUGAAAGCCCGGGGCCCAACCCCGGGACUGCCCUUGGAACUGCAUGGCUGGAGUGCGGGAGGGGCAGGCGGAAUGCCUGGUGUAGCGGUGAAAUGCGUAGAUAUCAGGAGGAACACCGGCGGCGAUGGCGGCCUGCUGGACCGCGACUGACGUUGAGGCUCGAAAGCGUGGGGAGCGAACAGGAUUAGAUACCCGGGUAGUC